rnacentral:rRNA from 1 species
UACGUAGGGACCAAGCGUUGUUCGGAUUUACUGGGCGUAAAGGGUGCGUAGGCGGCAAUUCAAGUCAGUUGUGAAAUCUCCGAGCUUAACUCGGAACGGUCAACUGAUACUGCUUUGCUAGAGUACAGAAGGGGCAAUCGGAAUUCUUGGUGUAGCGGUGAAAUGCGUAGAUAUCAAGAGGAACACCUGAGGUGAAGACGGGUUGCUGGGCUGACACUGACGCUGAUGCGCGAAAGCCAGGGGAGCAAACGGG